CCAAACACUUUCCUUUGGCUUGCUAAUCACACUUUUCAUUUUUUUCCCCCCUCUCUCUUCCUCCCCUAUUCUUUGUGUGCUUCAGAGUUGGUAUUUAAGCAACAGCAAAUCAAAGACUCCUUCCCUUUGCACAAAGAUGCCUCCUUCACUUGAAAAGAGUAAAGCACAAAUGAUGUAGCACAAUUUGUAUUUCUUUUUCCCCCCUUUUUUUCUCGGGGGUGGGGGGGGAUCGUCUUCACUUUAUUAAGGAAAAUCAAAAUAGCUGCCUUUUAAAAAGCAAAAGUGGAUGCACUGUCCGCACUUUUUCAGAUCGUCAUGAAAAAAGAAUAAUUAGCCCACGCGAAAAGAGGAGAAUCGGUGACGUACAGAUGAGCAACUUUACAAUGCUUUCAUACAGAGGGUAUUCGUGCUGUACGAAUACAGGAUACCAUCAGGAUGGAGCUGCUCUCAGUGGCCUCCUCACCAUUACCGAGUGCUGCGCUCCAGUUUAAAACAGGCCUCAGACCUGCCUGACCCUUCACAUCAUGUGCUGGUUUGCAAAGAAGUAGACCCUACACAGAGAGGUUGCAUCAGAGGAGAUUUGAUUUUGCUCGCCCUCCAUUCCUGCCCAGAGAAUGGGCUUGUCUUGGCGGCAGCCAACUCCGCACAGCAGCGCCGACACAGCUGUGUGACCGUGUUUGUCUCCCCACUGUAAACAGGUUGAUGGUGACUUAUAUUGUUCUCUGCUUGGAGACCGCAGGUAGGAUCUUCCCUGGUGGGCGAAUGAUAGGUGAAAUUAGUCAAGAGCCGAAAAUCAGGCCAGUUACUUUAC
rnacentral:lncRNA from 1 species